GUGCUGACUUCAGCAGCCCAUAUACUAAAACUGGAACAAUGGUGGGGAAGAUUAGCAUGGCCCCUGUGCAAAAAUGACACACAAAUUUGUGAAGCAUUCCAUACUUUU